GAAAAUCUUCUGACUGGGGAUAGAACAAUCUUCUUCCAAGGAGAAACUAAGGCAACCUGAAGACAGUUUUGAAAAGACAUAACUGGGAGGACACAAUCAAGGCCAGUAGUCUAAGAUGGAAGAUCUAAGAGGAAGAUAAAGCCAUUUGGAAAGAGUGUCUGAAUGUUGUUUGUUCAGUUAGGGUGGGGAGGCCAGUCAUUUGACUCCAGAUCUUCCAGGAUCCUCUUUUCAGGCUGCCCAUGAACAGACCCAUGAGACAGACAUGGGACAGAGACACUGUGAAGUUCCUAGGACUGAAAUGUGAAGUUCCUUCCCUGAAACAUGAAGAGCUGUAUUUUGCUACUGAUUUAACCCUCCUCCCAGUUUCUGUACAUGUGCAGAAAAACCUCCAAAGACAAGAAUAACAGCUUAAAUAGCAUGUUCCAAUAAGACCAAGUUCAGCAAAAUUUGAAUGAUUGUGAAUAUCCAAAAGCAAAUAGGAAAUUCUGGGAAUUUACUUAAAUUGUAAGCAAAGGAGCAGAAAGGAGCAGAAAUAAAGGUGUGAAUAGGGAAGAUUUCUGGGAAUAUGAACAUUUUAGGAAGGGUAGA